GCUCCACAGUUACACUCCAAACGAGUUUCACAAGCAGCUUCAGACUCCAUUCACACUCCAAAUCUUGCUCCUCAGUGCCACAUUCUUCCAUCACCGCUGUUCCAUAACCACAGUCAUCCACCGCAUUCUUCCAUCAUCAACACAUUUGGGACUUCCAUCACUCUCGUCGUUGUCAAUCAUCACUCUCGGUCACUUGAACAAACAGAACCUGGAGUUUUUCUGAGCUGGGUUGGAGCUGAAUCCAAGGUACGGAAGCUUCUCAGUACAUCCAGUUGGGAAAGCUAUUGUGGAUGCUGCUCAGAAAGUUAAUUGUACUAACGCUAAGGUUACAGAUGGAACAUUCCUUGAAGAACCUGGUUCUGGUGCAGUAGCAACUGUUGAUAACAAAAAAGUCUUUGUUGGGACAUUGGAUUGGAUCACCAGGUACUGGAGUAUUUGAUUUUUAUCAUUCUCUGAAAAUAUACAAGGUAGGAUGCACCUCAAAUUUUAUUUAUUUUUAAAAUUUAAUUUAUUUAAAGGAAUUUUUUUCCAUUUUUUUCAAAUGAA